rnacentral:tRNA from 3 species
GCCACCUUAGCUCAGAGGCAGAGCAACUCUUUUGUAAAGAGAAGGUCCUCGGUUCGAAUCCGAGAGGUGGCUCCA